AGAGUUUGAUCCUGGCUCAGGAUGAACGCUAGCGGCAGGCCUAAUACAUGCAAGUCGAACGGUGUAGCAAUACAUAGUGGCGCACGGGUGCGUAACACGUAUGCAACCUACCUUAUACUGAGGGAUAGCCUUUGGAAACGGAGAUUAAUACCUCAUGGGACAUUGACUUGGCAUCGGGUUAAUGUUAAAGAUUUAUUGGUAUAAGAUGGGCAUGCGUCCAAUUAGUUAGUUGGUAAGGUAACGGCUCACCAAGACGAUGAUUGGUAGGGGAACUGAGAGGUUAAUCCCCCACACUGGCACUGAGAUACGGGCCAGACUCCUACGGGAGGCAGCAGUAGGGAAUAUUGGGCAAUGGAGGCAACUCUGACCCAGCCAUGCCGCGUGCAAGAUGAAGGCGUUAUGCGUUGUAAACUGCUUUUAUAUAGGAAGAAAUAGACCUUGCGAGGUAAGUUGACGGUACUAUAUGAAUAAGCACCGGCUAACUCCGUGCCAGCAGCCGCGGUAAUACGGAGGGUGCAAGCGUUGUCCGGAUUUAUUGGGUUUAAAGGGUGCGUAGGCGGUUUAUUAAGUCAGUGGUGAAAGACGGUCGCUCAACGAUUGCAGUGCCAUUGAUACUG
rnacentral:rRNA from 1 species